GACGUAGGGCGCGAGCGUUGUCCGGAUUUAUUGGGCGUAAAGGGCGCGUAGGCGGCGCGGUAUGUCACCUGUGAAAUCUCCUGGCUCAACUGGGAGCUUGCAGGCGAAACUGUGGUGCUGGAGUAUGGGAGAGGUGCGUGGAAUUCCUGGUGUAGCGGUGAAAUGCGCAGAUAUCAGGAGGAACACCGGUGGUGUAGACGGCUUACUGGACCAUAACUGACGCUGAGACACGAAAGCGUGGGUAGCAAACAGG
rnacentral:rRNA from 1 species